rnacentral:rRNA from 1 species
GACGAACGCUGGCGGCGUGCUUAACACAUGCAAGUCGAACGGAAAGGCCCUGCUUUUGUGGGGUGCUCGAGUGGCGAACGGGUGAGUAACACGUGAGUAACCUGCCCUUGACUUCGGGAUAACUUCAGGAGACUGGGGCUAAUACCGGAUAGGAGCUCCUGCUGCAUGGUGGGGGUUGGAAAGUUUCGGCGGUUGGGGAUGGACUCGCGGCUUAUCAGCUUGUUGGUGGGGUAGUGGCUUACCAAGGCUUUGACGGGUAGCCGGCCUGAGAGGGUGACCGGCCACAUUGGGACUGAGAUACGGCCCAGACUCCUACGGGAGGCAGCAGUGGGGAAUAUUGCACAAUGGGCGGAAGCCUGAUGCAGCAACGCCGCGUGCGGGAUGACGGCCUUCGGGUUGUAAACCGCUUUCGCCUGUGACGAAGCGUGAGUGACGGUAAUGGGUAAAGAAGCACCGGCUAACUACGUG